AUUGAACGCUGGCGGCAUGCCUUACACAUGCAAGUCGAACGGUAACAGGUCUUCGGAUGCUGACGAGUGGCGAACGGGUGAGUAAUACAUCGGAACGUGCCUAGUAGUGGGGGAUAACUACUCGAAAGAGUGGCUAAUACCGCAUGAGAUCUACGGAUGAAAGCAGGGGAUCGCAAGACCUUGUGCUACUAGAGCGGCCGAUGGCAGAUUAGGUAGUUGGUGGGAUAAAAGCUUACCAAGCCGACGAUCUGUAGCUGGUCUGAGAGGACGAUCAGCCAAACGGGGACUGAGACACGGCCCAGACUCCUACGGGAGGCAGCAGUGGGGAAUUUUGGACGAUGGGCGCAAGACUGAUCCAGCAAUGCCGCGUGCAGGAUGAAGGCCUUCGGGUUGUAAACUGCUUUUGUACGGAACGAAAAGCCCUGGGUUAAUACCCUGGGGUCAUGACGGUACCGUAAGAAUAAGCACCGGCUAACUACGUGCCAGCCGCCGCCGUAA
rnacentral:rRNA from 1 species